UUUGACCUCGGAUCAGGUAGGAAUACCCGCUGAACUUAAGCAUAUCAAUAAGCGGAGGAAAAGAAACCAACAGGGAUUGCCCUAGUAACGGCGAGUGAAGCGGCAACAGCUCAAAUUUGAAAUCUGGCCUCGGCCCGAGUUGUAAUUUGCAGAGGAUGCUUCUGGCGCGGUGCCUUCCGAGUUCCCUGGAACGGGACGCCACAGAGGGUGAGAGCCCCGUAUGGUCGGACACCAAGCCUGUGUGAAGCUCCUUCGACGAGUCGAGUAGUUUGGGAAUGCUGCUCUAAAUGGGAGGUAAAUCUCUUCUAAAGCUAAAUACCGGCCAGAGACCGAUAGCGCACAAGUAGAGUGAUCGAAAGAUGAAAAGCACCUUGAAAAGGGGGUUAAAUAGUACGUGAAAUUGUUGAAAGGGAAGCACUUAUGACCAGACUUGGGCCGGGCGGCUCAUCAGGGGUUCUCCCCUGUGCACUCCGCCCGGCACAGGCCAGCAUCGGUUCUCGUGGGGGGAUAAGACCGUCAGGAACGUAGCACUCUCCGGAGUGUGUUAUAGCCUGGCGGACGAUACCCCCGUGGGGACCGAGGUCCGCGCAUUGCAAGGAUGCUGGCGUAAUGGUCAUCAGUGACCCGUCUUGAAACACGGACCAAGGAGUCGUCCAUUAGAGCGAGCGUUUGGGUGUAAAACCCGCACGCGUAAUGAAAGUGAACGCAGGUGAGAGCUUCGGCGCAUCAUCGACCGAUCCUGAUGUUCUCGGAAGGAUUUGAGUAAGAGUUUUAACGGACGGACCCGAAAGACAGUGAACUAUGCUUGAAUAGGGUGAAGCCAGAGGAAACUCUGGUGGAGGCUCGCAGCGGUUCUGACGUGCAAAUCGAUCGUCAAAUUUGAGCAUGGGGGCGAAAGACUAAUCGAACUGUCUAGUAGCUGGUUACCGCCGA
rnacentral:rRNA from 1 species